rnacentral:lncRNA from 1 species
AGUCGGAGCGCAGAGGGACACGCAGACAUUUCAGCAGAGGCCUCAAAGGCAGAACAAAAUAGUGCAAGGAGCCGCACAUCCGCACAGUGCUGAGACCCUGCCCAGGACAAGCUUGACAAAAAAGAAGAAAAUUGGGUCUUGUUAUGUUGCCCAGGCUGGUCUCCAACUCCUGGCCUCAAGUGAUCCUCCCAGCUUGUCCUUCCAAAGUGUUGGGAUUAUAGGUGUGAGCCACUGUGCCUGGCCAUGUCUGAAUGUUGAAUGUUGACAGCUUCAGUGAAUUGACCCCUCUUUCACCUAUGGGACUUAUGAAGAGAGAAUCUUUCUGGCAUUGCAUAAUCCUUCCCAAGAGUACUUUAGCUGUGGUAACCCUUCUUGUUAUAAAACAUGCCAGAUCCUGGCACCCAAGUGACAACCUGCAUUGAAAAGGCGGAACUUGGCUCUCCUGCCCUGCCAGCUGUAAGAGCUUGAAAGCAAAGCUAUGGGGGGAAUGUCUUUCAUUUCCCCCUGGAAGCUGGGAGGACGUUCAGCUUAGCAUUGCCAACUGUGUAAUGUGGACUUGCCUCUAAAAGAAGCCUUUUUCCUUGGAUGUCUUUCAGGCCGCAGUAUUCCCUUUGGCACCCCCACCCACCUGGAACAAAGCCUGAUGUAAAGUCUGGGUGCGACUCAGACCGGCCUGGGAAAGAAUUUAUUUAAUAAAUGGUGGAAAGUGGCUUCCUUGACGUGUCUUCGAUGGCUUUUUUAUAAAGCAUUUGGUUUGUCUACUCGUCUGUUUUUGCGCCAUCUCUUUCCACAAAGAUGGCUUAUAGCAGGGAUACUUACAACAAAAUGAUGCUGGGAAAACAAAAACAAAGAAGUAGAGAAUUAGGCCUGAGAAAACUAGGAGUAGAGAGUCACGAUUAGAUACAGAGGAGCAUAGAUGUGUAGUCUAGGAAGGCCAACUAAUUGUUAUAGCUGAAAUUCAAAUUCAGUUAGCUAAAAUGUUCCUAGUGUCAAAGGAAGAAUGGGCCACACAGUUGCAUAAUCCUUAGUAUUAGGGAGAAGGAAAAGGUUCCAGUUAUUCAGAGGGAUGUUCUCUUGCCUUAUUCCUUUAAUAAGUAUCUGUUAAAGGCCCACCAUGUGCCAAGCACCAUGCCCGGCAAGCACUGCACUCACCCCCCAGGAACUCAGUGUCUAAAGGAGACUGGGUGAAAGAACUAUAUUUGUGUGCCUAUGAUGUGUCAAAUACUAUGCAUUUAGUUAUGCAGUUACUGUAUGUUAGACACUAUGCAUUUAAUUAUUUACCUGCUGUAUAUCAGACACCAUGCAUUUUCAUUUAACCCUCAUAAGCACUUACAUCAAGUAGACACUGUUACCUCUUUUUUACAG